UCGAGAAUUUUUCACAAUGGGCGAAAGCCUGAUGGAGCGACGCCGCGUGGGGGAUGAAGGGCUUCGGCCUGUAAACCCCUGUCAUUUGCGAACAAAGCUUAUGGCCUAAUACGCCGUAAGUUGAUAGUAGUGAAAGAGGAAGAGACGGCUAACUCUGUGCCAGCAGCCGCGGUAAUACAGAGGUCUCAAGCGUUGUUCGGAUUUACUGGGCGUAAAGGGUGCGUAGGUGGUGAGGUAAGUCGGAUGUGAAAGCUCGGAGCUCAACUCCGAAAUGGCAUUGGAAACUACCUUGCUAGAGGAUUGGAGGGGGGACUGGAAUUCUCGGUGUAGCAGUGAAAUGCGUAGAUAUCGAGAGGAACACCAGUGGCGAAGGCGAGUCCCUGGACAAUUCCUGACGCUGAGGCACGAAAGCUAGGGGAGCAAACAG
rnacentral:rRNA from 1 species